rnacentral:rRNA from 1 species
UUGCAGGCUGCAACCCGCCUGCAUGAAGUCGGAAUUGCUAGUAAUCGCGGAUCAGCAUGCCGCGGUGAAUACGUUCCCGGGCCUUGUACACACCGCCCGUCACACCAUGGGAGCCGGUAAUACCCGAAGUCAGUAGUCCAACCACGUGAGGACGCUGCCGAAGGUAGGAUUGGCGACUGGGGUGAAGUCGUAACAAGGUAGC